rnacentral:lncRNA from 1 species
UGCAUGCCUACACAAUCGCAUAAAUCUUCUAGCUUUUACUGCUUGUCCUUGGGGGAAUCUCAUAUUUUUCACGUGUGGGUCUAUAUCUAUAUGUUGUCCAGUGUUCAACUGCAGACUCGUAGGUAAAUAUCCCGCGGAAGUCCUGAUUUCUCCGCAAUUCCUCCUUAAUGCAGGAUUACAUCCUUAGAACCAAACUUGCGCUAUCUAAGAUCACAUCAAU